rnacentral:tRNA from 1 species
GUGGCUGUAGCUCAGCUGGUUAGAGCGCCUGCCUGUGGAGCAGGAGGCCGCCGGUUCAAUUCCGGUCAGCCACC